CUUGCUGGAAAGCAUACAUAUUUAAUGAUAAUUGUUUUCAUAAUAUAUAUAUCGAAUCUAUCGAAUCAAUUAUCGAUCGAUGUGGGAGAUCGAUUUAACUCAUAUUUUAAUGUAACGCAUACUUUUUAUUUUUAUAUAAAAGUAAUUACAAUUUGUGAAAUGAAUUAAUAAUAAUUAGCUUUAUUAGUGUGAAAAACGCAAAGUUCAAAACGGUAUAUAUCGCAGAAGCACUCAUCUUGACGCGUGAAGUUAGCGCUAGAGAUGAUCAUCUUUGACUCGAGCCAACUUAACACAGUUCUCUGUUUUAGGGGUUCACAUGGCUUCCGGAACGGAACGGGACGCUGGGUUCACUUUCUUUCCGGAACGGAACGGGACGCGGGACACAUCAGCUCCCGACCGAGACUUCUUCACAAAUCAUAUAAUCGAACGCAAGGAAUGUGGAACGACCCGCCGCCGCAAGUGCUAGAACAAGUGCUAUCGCCAAGUAUUUAAUCGAACGCGACGGAGGUGAAAUGACCCGGUGCUGUAUAGAACGGCAUCGCAGAUCAUAAUUGGUAAGUGUAACGUACACAUCUCAGUAAGGCCAAAGGCAGAGAACGAGACGUAGGUGUUGCAGUCGUAGUCGUAGGGUAAGACAGAGAAAAACGUAAGUUGUACACGUCGUAGUAUACUAUUCUAGACUCUAGAAUAGUAGUAUAUUACGACUAACGUUUUUUUCUGCCUUACCCUACGACUACGACUACGACACCUACGUCUCGUUCUCUGCCUAAGCAAGA